rnacentral:lncRNA from 1 species
GCUUUUGUGUUGAACUGAGAGUUUGAGCAAAGUCAGCAAAGUCAGUAGCACUCUGUUUCCUCCUUAGGACAAGGCUCUGAGACCGAAACUUCUUCCUGUUGUUUUAUAAAACAAACUCCACCUUUGACCUCUCACCUUUGGCUUCUCACCUGCUCUAUGCUUGCAAGACAGGGCACGGCGGAGAUCCGACAACUUCAGACCUUCACCCAGAAAUUCAAGUUGUUCUUCUCGGUGAAGGCCGUUUGUCCCUGGUUGAAUGCCACCCAGGUGUUGACAACCCAAGGGAAUCCACAGGUAUGUUUCCCAUGUUGGUCCAAACUUGCUGGUAGAAUUUGUCUACAGGCGCUGUCUCUCUUAGGGAAAGAGAGUGGAAGGAUAAACACCAGGUAAGUAUUCGGUGCUGGGUCCUCGUAUGUAAACAUAUUACAUUGUUUACACAGCCCAUUAACACAGGCAGCUUUCUCAUUUACCAGUGUUGUUAUUGUUGUUUUUGUGGUAGCGUCUAAUAACUUCUCAGUAGCUGUCAUGGUCCCUGUUCUAUUGCUAUGAAGAGACAGACAUCAUGACCAAGCCGACUCCACUCAGAAAGCAUUUAACUGAGAGCUUGCUAACAGUUUCAGAAGUUUAGUCCAUUAUUAUCAUGGUGGGAAGGCAGUGGAUUGGAGCUACUUUGUGAUCCACAAGCAGAGAGCAGACAGACAGACAGACAGACAGACAGCCUCUGGGCUUAGCAUGAGCUUUUGAAACUU